GUCCAACAUUUUCCGGAAAAGCCGGUAGAAGCGCACCACAGACAGGCAUGAAAGCAACUGCUCCUUAACUUGUAUGGAGGGAAAAAUAACAGCAAUGUGCUUUAUGUUAGGUCGUACGUGAGUUAUAGUGAGCUAAAAACGACAAGCGUCCGAAGAGACUUUAUUUUACUUGGCUGUGCUGGCUAACUUCGGACCUAAAGGGCCACAUCCAGAUGCCUGUCCAGGCUAUCCCUGCCCCAGCUGUGGACUGCUCUCACAUGACCUCAGGCCCUGUGAAAAUCCCCUUGUGUGGAACUAACACUGCAAGGGCUGUGGUAUGACAGGACACUUCUCUGAUGUGAAUUUGCCUGUGAGCCUCCAGAUUCAGUUAGAGGUGCCUCUUAGGCCACAAACAGUCCACACCCUGAAACGGCAGAGAUGCCAUGCUUUGUUGACCAGCAGCACCUACCUGAACCAAUAAGGAUGAGUGGUGGGGAGAAUUAGCUGGUCUAGGGCAGGAGCAGGACAAAGCAGGACCCAUGUAGCCAAGAUAGCAGGAGGAACACUUGGCCAGAGAGAUGCAGAGAUAGAUGAGAAGUGAUGAGACUGAGGAGGGAGACUCAGGCCAGGCAAGAAGGGGGACUACUGGAGAGGUCCCAAGGUAACUCAGAUGAUUGAAGCCUGUCUCCCAGAGCCCUUCAAGUACACUCUUCACAGGGUGUCCACACCCCCUCCACAGAAGAAGAGGAAGGUUGAGGCAGGUGGUAGGAGCAGCAGUAAGAGCAGAGAGGAGGGAUAAAACAUGAGGAUUUGUAUCUUCAUGGUGAUAUAGACAUUAGAAGUGAAAACCUUCUUUCCCCGAUGUGAAGAGUAUGCUACAGAAGAAGACAGAUUUUUUUAAGGAAUGAGAAGCUGGAAAACAAAAAAACUGAUUUUG